AUAGAAAUGCUAUUGCAAAAGGAAAAAAAAAUGAAAUGCUUUAAGAACUCUGCAAAAGAAAGCCAAGUAGAUUUUGACACAUUUUGGAAGUUAAUCGCUGCUACUUUUCCUGCUCAGAACUGUAAAGCUAGCAUUUGUUAAAUCUUUAAGAUGCCUAGGGUAAAGGACAAAUCCUUUGUCCUCUGGAGACCAAAAAUCACUUAACAUUCACCUAGCGCUAACCUGACAAGCUUUUGUAGCCUUGCAGAAAUUGCAUUUGGCCAGUAGAUGGAGCAGCUGCAGCGGGGAGCCACAAAUCUUCAGGGACACCAGGGCGAAAUCAUUCAAAGCAGCCGAGCCGCCCAUCUCCCUUGACUCCCCCUUUGCUUGUCAGCAGCUGGACGCCUGACAGGGACUGGGGAAAAGAGCAGCAUGGGAAGAAGGAAGAGGAAUGGCGCUGAGCCAGCGUUCCACACAAAGAACGAGCGGCAGGUUGAAGUUUUUCCAAUGCAGUGUGUUUCCUGCUGAUGACAGCUUCAGCCAAAGAAGUGCCACAAAGCCAGCAUUGUGCAAAUAUACUUGGGGUGACCAGUUUUAUUUCCAGCAAAUGAUACUAUGUUUGAAUGGUUGUGCAUGACGGAACUGAGAGCAGCUUCAUUAGCUGAACUUCAGCUGGUCACAUUGAACAAACUGUCAGGCCCCACUUGCCACCCAGAAGAGGCUUCUGUUGAAGAAUGGUGGUUGGUGAUGACUGCUCUACAGAAAUUGCUGAAGCACUGGAUCUGUCUCUCUACCUCUUCCCAUGGUUCAGGGGGUUGUUUUGCAGGCUGUAUGCCACAGUGUGGGGUGACCAAUGGAUCUAUGAACCCCACUGGAAAGGCACAUGGGAAAGUAGCAUACAAGGUGUGACACAAAAAUAACUGGAUUAGUAAUAAAAAAUAUUUAUGGAUGAA